UACGAAGGGUGCAAGCGUUACUCGGAAUUACUGGGCGUAAAGCGUGCGUAGGUGGUGCGUUAAGUCUGUCGUGAAAGCCCCGGGCUCAACCUGGGAAUGGCGAUGGAUACUGGCGCGCUAGAGUGCGGUAGAGGAGAGUGGAAUUCCCGGUGUAGCAGUGAAAUGCGUAGAGAUCGGGAGGAACACCAGUGGCGAAGGCGGCUACCUGGCCCACUCUUGACGCUGAGGCGCGAAAGCUAGGGGAGCAAACGGG
rnacentral:rRNA from 1 species